CAUAACUGAGACAAAACAACGGUCCUGGACCAAUCAGGAGACAGAAGACAGAGGACUAAAAUGAAAAUACUAUGCCUGUCAAAAAAGGCAUAUGAUCCAGUGGCCCCAGGUUUACACACCAUCUGUUGAUCAGCAUUUAGGAGCUUUUAUUUUGGAAAUUCCCAUGAAGAUGCCAGGCUGCCUUUAGCCCCUUCCUGUGAAUCCACUAAAGUAAUAAUUAGCCUUUUUUGGGUGAAGUUAACUUUAAAAAACCUACUAUGAGUACGUUUUUCCCACCUAAGAGAGAAGGAGCAGAAGAAGAAGGAAUGACUGUUGCAUAACAAAUGAAUCUAGCAGGUACUGCAGGUUAAUGACAUUUGACUUGUAGCAGACAUGUGUCUCUGAAACCGCUGCAGAAGUGAUGAGAUCACAUGGAUGUCACCAUUUCUUCUUUCAGCUCAUCUUUUGAGGCAGAUUCAGAUGGAGAAGUGGAAUAAAAAUCAACAGUGGAAAUGGGUCAAACAAUGACGCCCCCCAUCCACCUCCCACCUGGAGGGAUGUGGACGGGGGUUUAAAACCUCCUCACCUCCAUCACUGUCAGGGACAUAAACAUCCUGACGUGCCUGAAUUUAUCCGACUGGCUGAGGUGGAUGCAGUUGCUCUGAGGGGCGUUUGCGUCUUCUAGGUACUCAGAGCAGGUGAAGUGUGUCGUUUUCCAGAAGAGCAGGAACUACAGCGACUCUGCCCUGUCGUCAUGGCUACCCUCAGGUCACAAUGUGAGGCGCGUUAUGUGGGUCCGUGUUUCUGUUGAGGGUCACAGGGAGUUUGCUCACCACACUGACCCCAACCAGAUCAACCCGUCUCACCGUGCUACGCCGGGGGAAGCUGUUCCAGCUGUUCAGUUCAGACUCAGGGUGUAAAGCUGGGCCAGUAUCACUUCAGGUUUGAGACAGACCAACCGCUGGGGAAAUGGACCUCACCUGACGCCAUUACUCUGGAUGUAACAG